GCGUCAGGCCUAACACAUGCAAGUACAACGGUAGCACAGAGGAGCUUGCUCCUCGGGUGACGAGUGGCGGACGGAUGAGUAAUGUCUGGGAAACUGCCCGAUGGAGGGGGAUAACUACUGGAAACGGUAGCUAAUACCGCAUAAUGUUGCAAGACCAAAGAGGGGGACCUUCGGGCCUCUUGCCAUCGGAUGUGCCCAGAUGGGAUUAGCUGGUAGGUGAGGUAAUGGCUCACCUAGGCGACGAUCCCUAGCUGGUCUGAGAGGAUGACCAGCCACACUGGAACUGAGACACGGUCCAGACUCCUACGGGAGGCAGCAGUGGGGAAUAUUGCACAAUGGGCGCAAGCCUGAUGCAGCCAUGCCGCGUGUGUGAAGAAGGCCUUCGGGUUGUAAAGCACUUUCAGCGGGGAGGAAGGCAGUACGGUUAAUAACCGUGUUGAUUGACGUUACCCGCAGAAGAAGCACCGGCUAACUCCGUGCCAGCAGCCGCGGUAAUACGGAGGGUGCAAGCGUUAUUCGGAAUUACUGGGCGUAAAGCGCUCGCAGGCGGUCUGUCAAGUCGGAUGUGAAAUCCCCGGGCUCAACCUGGGAUCUGCAUUGGAAACUGGCAGGCUUGAGUGUUGUAGAGGGGGGUGGAAUUCCAGGUGUAGCGGUGAAAUGCGUAGAGAUCAGGAG
rnacentral:rRNA from 1 species